rnacentral:tRNA from 1 species
GUUUUUGAAGUUCUAAGAACGUGAUGUUGAAACCAUCAAGGUUAACUUUGUUACUAAAACG